rnacentral:piRNA from 1 species
UCUGGAUUUUAUCCCGUAGACUCUGGUGAGC